AGAGUUGAUAUGGCUCAGGAUGAACGCUAGCGGCAGGCUAACACAUGCAAGUCGAGGGGCAACGCGAGUAGCAAUACUUGGCGGCGACCGGCGCAAGGGUGCGUAACGCGUGAGCAACAUGCCCGUAUCAGGGGGAUAAUCCAGGGAAACUUGGUCUAAUACCCCAUAGUAAUUUUGUAAGGCAUCUUAUAAGAUUUAAAGCUUUUGGUGGAUACGGAUUGGCUCGCGUGACAUUAGCUGGAUGGUAAGGUAACGGCUUACCAUGGCUAUGAUGGUCUAGGGGUUCUGAGACGGAAGGUCCCCCACACUGGAACUGAGACACGGUCCAGACUCCUACGGGAGGCAGCAGUGAGGAAUAUUGGACAAUGGAUGGAAAUCUGAUCCAGCCAUGCCGCGUAGAAGGAAGAAGGUCCUAUGGAUUGUAAACUUCUUUUGUAUGGGAGCAAUAAGGCCUACGAGUAGGUUGAUGAGAGUACCAUACGAAUAAGCACCGGCUAACUCCGUGCCAGCCGCAGC
rnacentral:rRNA from 1 species